GGAUCAUUACCGAGUUUACAACUCCCAAACCCCUGUGAACAUACCUAUUGUUGCCUCGGCGGAUCAGCCCGGCCCCGGUAAAACGGGACGGCCCGCCAGAGGACCCUAAACUCUGUUUUUAGUGUAACUUCUGAGUAAAACAAACAAAUAAAUCAAAACUUUCAACAACGGAUCUCUUGGUUCUGGCAUCGAUGAAGAACGCAGCAAAAUGCGAUAAGUAAUGUGAAUUGCAGAAUUCAGUGAAUCAUCGAAUCUUUGAACGCACAUUGCGCCCGCCAGUAUUCUGGCGGGCAUGCCUGUUCGAGCGUCAUUUCAACCCUCAAGCACAGCUUGGUGUUGGAGCCGGCAUCUCUCACGAGUUGCCGCUCCCAAAUCUAUUGGCGGUCACGUCGAGCUUCCAUAGCGUAGUAAUUACACCUCGUUACUGGUAAUCGUCGCGGCCACGCCGUUAAACCCCAACUUCUGAAUGUUGACCUCGGAUCAGGUAGGAAUACCCGCUGAACUUAAGCAU
rnacentral:rRNA from 1 species